GCAACGCCUCUACGGUGGCAGCAACGGAAACGCCUGCAACCAAUAACGCCCUGCGUAUGGAUUAGCACACCUACGGGGGCGUUGCUU
rnacentral:ncRNA from 1 species